rnacentral:tRNA from 1 species
GCGCAUCUGGUGUAGUGGUAUCAUAGUACCCUCCCACGGUACUGACCAGGGUUCGAUUCCCUCCCACGGUACUGACCAGGGUUCGAUUCCCUGGAUGCGCA